GUGGGGAAUCUUGCGCAAUGGGCGAAAGCCUGACGCAGCCAUGCCGCGUGAAUGAUGAAGGUCUUAGGAUUGUAAAAUUCUUUCACCGGGGACGAUAAUGACGGUACCCGGAGAAGAAGCUCCGGCUAACUUCGUGCCAGCAGCCGCGGUAAUACGAAGGGGGCUAGCGUUGCUCGGAAUUACUGGACGUAAAGGGCGCGUAGGCGGACAGUUUAGUCAGAGGUGAAAGCCCAGGGCUCAACCUUGGAAUUGCCUUUGAUACUGGCUGUCUUGAGUACGGGAGAGGUGAGUGGAACUCCGAGUGUAGAGGUGAAAUUCGUAGAUAUUCGGAAGAACACCAGUGGCGAAGGCGACUCACUGGCCCGUUACUGACGCUGAGGCGCGAAAGCGUGGGGAGCAAACAGGAUUAGAAACCCGGGUAGUCC
rnacentral:rRNA from 1 species